rnacentral:rRNA from 1 species
UUAAGCUAAAAAGAGCGCAGGGCGGAUGCCUUGGCACUGAGAGCCGAUGAAAGACGUGAUAAGCUGCGAAAAGCUGCGGGGAGUGGCAAAUACACAUUGAUCCGCAGAUAUCUGAAUGGGGGAACCCACAUAAGGAAACCUUAUGUACCGUUUACUGAACAGGCGUAAGCUGAAUAGGUAAACGGAGGGAACCCGGUGAACUGAAACAUCUAAGUAGCCGGAGGAAAAGAAAGAAAAAUCGAUUCUGUGAGUAGCGGCGAGCGAAAGCGGAGGAGCCUAAACCGAUGUGCGUGCAUGUCGGGGUUUUGGACUGCAGAAGUGACAUCAGAAUCUAGCAGAACGGUCCUGGGAAGACCGGCCAGAGAGGGUGAAAGCCCCGUAAGCGAAAGAAGAUGGUGCAUGGCAGGAUCCGGAGUACUACGAGACACGAGAAACCUUGUAGGAAGAAGCGGGGACCACCCCGCAAGGCUGAAUACUCCUCAGUGACCGAUAGCGUAUAGUACUGUGAAGGAAAGGUGAAAAGGACCCCGGGAGGGGAGUGAAAGAGAACCUGAAACCUUGUGCCUACAAGCACAUAGAGCCCGUCAAAGGGUGAUAUGGUACUUUUUGUAGAACGGUCCGGCGAGCGAUUGUACGUUGCAAGCUUAAGGUCUUAAGGACUGGAGGCGUAGCGAGAGCGAGUCUAAACAGGGCGUUUAGUAGCGUGCAAUGGGCCCGAAACCGGGUGACCUACCCAUGAUCAGGCUGAAGUGAAAGUAAAAUUUCAUGGAGGGCCGAACCGACCUCCGUUGAAAAGGCGGCGGAUGAAUUGUGGGUAGCGGAGAAAUUCCAAUCGAACUCGGAGAUAGCUGGUUCUCCCCGAAAUAGCUUUAGGGCUAGCCUCAUGUUAGAUAUCCGGAGGUAAAGCACUGAAUGGCCUAGCGUCCGAGAGGAUAGCGAAGCCUAUCAAACUAAGAAUGCCGGAAUAUUGAUGCAUGGGAGUCAGACAGUGUGAGAUAAAUCUCAUUGUCAAAAGGGAAACAGCCCAGAUCUACAGCUAAGGUCCCAAAUUGUAUCUAAGUGGAAAACGAUGUGGAAAUACGCAGACAACCAGGAUGUUGGCUCAGAAGCAGCCACUCAUUUAAAGAGUGCGUAAUAGCUCACUGGUCGAGCGUCUCUGCGCGGAAAAUUUAACGGGGCUAAGAUACAAACCGAAGCUUAGGCUGCAUACGGAAGUAUGCGGGGUAGGGGAGCGUUGUGUAAGCGGAGAAACAGUAGCGUAAGCGGCUGUGGAGUUUACAGAAGUGAGAAUGCCGGAAUGAGUAGCGCGAAUGAUGUGAGAAUCAUCAUGGCCGGAAACCUCAGGUUUUUGGAGGAAGGUUCGUCCGCUCCAAGUUAGGCGGGAGCUAAGGUGAGGCCGAAAGGCGUAGCCGAUGCACAGACGGUAGAGAUUCCGUCCCCACCGAAAGAUUUAAGCGCAGGGACACUUUUAGAAGGUCGGAGCCAGGUGUUGGUUCUGGUAGAGAUCGAGGGAAGAUUAGUACCGAAGUCCGGCUGGAUAAGAGGCGAGAAAAGCUGCGUGUAUAUCUAAGGUGCCCGUACCGCAAACCGACACAGGUAGGUAGGAAGAAGAUUCUAAGGCCAACGGGAGAAGGGUUGUUAAGGAACUCGGCAAAUUGACCCCGUAACUUCGGGAGAAGGGGUGCUCCAGAGAUGGAGCCGCAGAGAAUCGGCCCAAGCAACUGUUUACCAAAAACACAGGUUUGUGCUAAAUCGAAAGAUGACGUAUACGAGCUGACGCCUGCCCGGUGCUGGAAGGUUAAGAGGAGAUGUGCAAGCAUUGAAUCGAAGCCCCAGUGAACGGCGGCCGUAACUAUAACGGUCCUAAGGUAGCGAAAUUCCUUGUCAGGUAAGUUCUGACCC